AGAUAGACUUGUAACUGGAUAAACAUGCUGCAGAUGCAGUAGUUGUCCAGAGCUCAGACCUCUUUUUGCGGUUUCUCCCAACCUAUGCCUCUGCAGGGAGCGAUGUCUGGGUUGGUGGCAAGACACCUCUCCAGCUCCAGCACUUCGCUCCUGAACUGCUCUCUGGCCAUUUCCCUCUGCUGUGUGGUUUGGUCCUAAGGUCAUAGAAUUGUAGGGCUAGAAGGCAUCUUUGGAAGUCAUCUAGUUCCACCACUUGUAGGAAGCCAGAUAACCCCUAUCCAAAUGUGGCAGGCUGUAGCAGACUGCAGAACCAGAGGCUGCAGCCCAGCUGUGAGAAAUAAUGCUAAUUACAGGCUGCUCAGGGAAACUGGGCCAGCUGAAGGAGAUAAUAUGAGGCCACAGGAAGUAAAAACCUCCCAGAGAAAAGAAACCAGGAAGAUGGGUGAAUAGAAGAAGAGAGAGAAUGAGUAUGGCCUGGCUUGCCCUGGCCAAUGGAUGCAAUACUACAUAAGGGACUCUUAGAGAUACAGGUGCUGCAAGACUGGGAGCAACAGCACUACAGGGAGCUGAGUCACAAACAGUCUGAGAGAAGUGAUUGCAGCAAGGAGGGAGCAGCAGCAAGUUGGAGGCACCUUUUCAGGGGUUGAGAAGGACCCAGACCUGUACUAGGCACCUGACCUGAAAACCUGGGCCGGCAAGUGAUAUGUUACCCUCUCCGAGUUAUGGCAGGUGUAUGCAUGCGUGGAAGGAGUCACCCUCUCAGCAGAAAGCUGGCAGACCAAAGGAGCAAUGACGGGGAGAAGCUCGGAGGCUGGAGCUGGAGCAAGGAGGCUACAGGGGAGCCAAGAGGUGGUGUGAUGUGGAAUGAUAGUCCAGCUGAGACAUAAAUGAGGAACCUAAAGGUGUAUGGAAAGGCAGGGCAAGCAAGAUGGUUAAUGUUUCUGCCAGUGCUAUAAAUUAAUGACACUGUCAUGGUUUUUGGACUGUGAGUUUUGUAGCAUUUGAGAAUCUUGUCAUUUAAGAAGAAAAAGGUUCACUGCCAGUUCAUAGAUCAGUUGUAUUUAAUUUAGACACUAUAUAUUUGCUCUGACGCAUUCUAAUUAGACACAUUCUAAUUGGCACUCCAAUUAAAGUGUUCCA